GACGAACGCUGGCGGCGUGCUUAACACAUGCAAGUCGAACGGAAAGGCCCCUUUGGGGGUCCUCGAGUGGCGAACGGGUGAGUAACACGUGAGUAACCUGCCCUUGACUUCGGGAUAACUUCAGGAAACUGGGGCUAAUACCGGAUAGGAAUCCUUGCUGCAUGGUGGGGGUUGGAAAGCUUCGGCGGUUUUGGAUGGACUCGCGGCUUAUCAGCUUGUUGGUGGGGUAGUGGCUUACCAAGGCUUUGACGGGUAGCCGGCCUGAGAGGGCGACCGGCCACAUUGGGACUGAGAUACGGCCCAGACUCCUACGGGAGGCAGCAGUGGGGAAUAUUGCACAAGGGGCGGAAGCCUGAUGCAGCAACGCCGCGUGCGGGAUGACGGCCUUCGGGUUGUAAACCGCUUUCAGCAGGGGCGAAGCUUGUGGUGACGGUACCUGCAGAAGAAGCACCGGCUAACUACGUG
rnacentral:rRNA from 1 species